rnacentral:rRNA from 1 species
GAUGAACGCUGGCGGCGUGCCUAAUACAUGCAAGUCGAGCGGUAACACUUCGGGUGACGAGCGGCGGACGGCUGAGUAACGCGUAGGAAUGUACCCCAAACUGAGGGAUAAGCACCAGAAAUGGUGUCUAAUACCGCAUAUGGUCUUCGGAUUAAAGCUUCGGCGGUUUGGGAACGGCCUGCGUAUGAUUAGCUUGUUGGUGAGGUAAAAGCUCACCAAGGCGACGAUCAUUAGCUGGUCUGAGAGGAUGAUCAGCCAGACUGGGACUGAGACACGGCCCAGACUCCUACGGGAGGCAGCAGUAGGGAAUCUUCCACAAUGGGCGAAAGCCUGAUGGAGCAACGCCGCGUGCAGGAUGAAAGCCUUCGGGUCGUAAACUGCUUUUAUAUGCGAAGACUUCGACGGUAGCAUAUGAAUAAGGAUCGGCUAACUCCGUGCCAGCAGCCGCGGUCAUACGGAGGAUCCAAGCGUUAUCCGGAAUUAC